UGGGUGUCACCAGACCGGGAUAAGGCCUUCUCCCUUUUUAUUUUUUUUCUAGUCUUGUCAUCAUCGAAUUUAGUUCCGAUAAGCCAUCGGAUUCGUGGUGGACAUAGUCUCCCUUGCUCUCUGAUUUUCUCAUUAUUUCACCAACCAUUGGUGGUUGUGGCUGCUAACUGGGUCAUCUCCUAGUCGGCACUGUGCAUCGUCAUUGGCCAUCAACCUAGUUUUUUGGCCCUGGCUAGGUGAAGGGAGGAAGGACAUACAAGCAUUCGA
rnacentral:lncRNA from 1 species